rnacentral:rRNA from 1 species
GCCGCGCUAAUAUCGCUGCGCAGUCGCGUGAAUACGUAGGGUGCGAGCGUUAUAUCGGAAUCACUGGGCGUAAAGCGUGCGCAGGCGGUUUGGUAAGAGGCGUGAAAUCCCCGGGCUUAACCUGGGAACUGCGUUUGUGACUGCCAGGCUAGAGUACGGCAGAGGGGGGUGGAAUUCCACGUGUAGCAGUGAAAUGCGUAAAGAUGUGGAGGAACACCAAUGGCGAAGGCAGCCCCCUGGGUCGAUACUGACGCUCAUGCACGAAAGCGUGGGUAGCAAACAGGAUUAGAUACCCUGGUAGUC